rnacentral:misc_RNA from 1 species
AAAUAAAGCACACAAUGCAGAAUGUGAAGUUGUGAAUUCAUUUGUAGUAUUGUUUCAUCCAGAAAAUAUUGUUGAUAAAAAUUAAUUGUCAGUAUUUGAGCCUCAUCCAACAUUGAUUUUAUUGAUCCUGUCUCUGCAAUAUCCUUAAAUUCUCUUUGACAUUUGCUCUGGUCUCUACUGCUGAUCCCAAAUAUUUCUUUG